rnacentral:rRNA from 1 species
GCGUUAAGUGCACCGCCUGGGGAGUACGUCUGCUAGGCUAUAAUCCAUAGGAAUUGACGGGGGCCCGCACAAUCGGUGGAGCAUGUGGCUUAAUUCGAUGCAACGCGAAGAACCUUACCAGGGCUUGAAAUAUAGCUGUAUAUGACCCGAAAGGGACAUAGCCUUCGAGGGUGCUAUACAGGUGCUGCAUGGCUGUCGUCAGCUCGUUCCGUGAGGUGUUGGGUUAAGUCCCGCAACGAGCGCAACCCCUGUCGUUAGUUGCCACCUGAGGAGAGAUCCUCAGAGCACUCUAGCGAGACUGCCCGUGACAAGCGGGAGGAAGGUGGGGAUGACGUCAAGUCAGUAUGGUCCUUAUGCCCUGGGCUGCACACGUGCUACAAUGGACAGUACAAAAGGAAGCAAAACCGCGAGGUCGAGCAAAUCCCCAAAACUGUCCCCAGUUCAGAUUGCAGUCUGCAACUCGACUGCAUGAAGCCGGAAUCGCUAGUAAAGGCGUAUCAGCUACGACGCCUUGAAUACGUUCCCGGGCAUUGUACACACCGCCCGUCACAUCAUGAGAGCCGAUUGCACCCGAAGUCACCGGGCUAACCUUAACUGGAGGCAGGUGCCGAAGGUGUGAUUGGUGAUUGGGAUGAAGUCG